ensembl:rRNA 5S_rRNA 5S ribosomal RNA
GUCUACAGCCAUCCCACCCUGAACACGCCCGAUCUCGUCUGAUCUCGGAAGCUAAGCAGGGUCAGAUCUGGUGAGUACUGGGAUGGGAGAUAGAUGGAUAGGUAGAUG